rnacentral:lncRNA from 1 species
GUGCGCGCAGCUGUGCAGGAUGAAUCACAGACAUCAGAGAUGGAGAACACCUGUUACUGUGGGUCAUCGGCUUGGCGUGCGUCCGGUCUAGUUUCCAUUUACAGGACAGUUCUGUGCCCUUCCUCAGGAGGUCCCAUUCCUUCCUUCUUUUGGUCGGUUAGAAUAUUAGGUCUUCCAGUCAAAGUCACCCAGAUUUGCCAAAGUCACAAGUGAUGAUGCCCCAUCUGGAUUGGUAAAGAACUCACAGCAAGAAAAAUCACUGAUGUGGAAAAACUCAGGACAGCAUUCUUUUGCUGACCGCUUACCACUUUUGCACGUACCCAGCAGCCCACUGAAGUGCUUGUACCUGUGUGCCUGGGGAAGGUGGGGAGAAUAUUUCUUCUUUUACCCCUCCAAGGUCUGUAUCAGGAACUAUUCUUAAUAUACAUCCAAUCCACCCUCCACACUGACAUCUGAGUUCUCAUUCUCCAAAUGCAAGCCUUCAUUGACUAGCCAGUGCCUUCAGGAUCAAGUCAAAAUUCCUAAAUGCAGAGGAGCCCUAACAAACUAGACCCAAGUGUCCCUUCCAGUCUCAUCUUCCAGCACCAUCACAUUGUAUGCACAAGGCACCGUGUAUUUGCUCCUCUUGGAAGAAAAUCCCUCCCACUUCUGUGACUCUACCAGCUCCCUGCUCUCCUCCAGCCAGAGAAAAGCACCCUUUCCCUUUCCUCUACCAGGAAAAUCAUACUCAACUUUCAAUACCUAGUUCAAAUUUCAGUUGCUGUGUUCAAUAUGUUAGAGCUAGUUUUGCUGACAUUUUCUCAACCCAGUUAUAUUUUGGCUUAACUGACUUUAAGAAACUUAAUUUAAUUAAUAAUUAAAAUGGCUUUUAUACCUAGAAUUAUAUUAGCUUGGGUGAAUUGAAUAACCAAGGUAACCGCGUUACCCACUCUAGUUCAUUUAUUCCUUAAUAUUUACCACAGCUGCAUCUCAUGGAGUGUGGUUUGAACAAGUUAUAUUGAACUGCCAUGUGGCCGUGACCCUUGUAAGUAUAACUCUAUCAAGAACUAUUAAUCUGGGCUCCAGCUUUUGUAUUUUGGGAAUUCUGAGAGUCUGGUCAGGUAUUUCUAGUGCUUUGCUUUAAUAACAAGCAAUAUGAACAUCGCCAAAUAAUUUAAAGAUUCUACAUACCUUUGUAAAAUCUUUCCACCUAUGUUUGCUAUGCCUGUAGGGAGACAAAUACUUUCAUUGAAUUUAUAUAUACAAGGCUUAUUUUCAUUACCACUUUGAACUUAUUCAAUCUAAUUUCACAUCUGAUUUAUUUCCAUUUCAACUAUACCUCAAAGUCAAAUUUAUUUUCAUUCUAUAUUAAAAUAUACAAUGAUCACUAUGAUUUCCAAUCUUGCUUUUGAGAUCUGACAAAUUCUUAUGUGUAAAUAUGCUUUUCUGGUAAGGGGAGGAAUAGAUUUGCAACAAAAAUUAUGAAUUACUUGUUUUAUCUUUGAGUGUAUAUACGUAUACGUGUAUGUCUUAUUUAUCUAAAAUACAAACUUAACCAUGUUAAGAAUAGAAGCCUUUCCCAUUAUUCCACACCUCCAUGGGGGCUUUAGAACUGACUGAUAUUCUGUAAACUGAUAACAUCUAUUACAUCACUUUUCACUUUGUAUUACACAAUAUUGGAUUAUGUGGCCAUUCUGUACCCACCCACAACAGAGCUGAAUGCAUAAAUAAAUGAAGACUG